rnacentral:misc_RNA from 1 species
CUUUGGUUUCUGCAGUUCAGACAGUGUCUCGGACAGUGUCUGUGCUCUCUGAUACAGCUACUACAGUGUCUUCUCUAUUAGCUGUUAGAGCUCCCUCCCUUUUCUGUCUACUACAGAGUAGCUGCGGCCAUGUCUAGACAAGCUGCUGUUCCUUCUAGUUGCACCAAUAAAGUGAUUAUCAAGCCUGCUCGCCUUGCUCCUGUUUUCACUCGCGGCCAUGUCUAUCAACGAGUAUUGAGCAUUUUGAGAAAAGGCAACUCAGAUCACUCUGAACCAAAGCAGGAAGAGAAGAGAUUCAGUUCUUGUUCGUUAACUAAUCCAGCUAACGUGCCAGCAAUGUCAUCAUCAUCCAACUGGGAUACUGUCCCUAUAAACAUGCUAACUAAUUCGUCUGUGAGAAACCAGACCGUUGCAUUAUUCCAGCAACCCAUCCCAGCUACAUGUCUAUCCACACCAGCACAGCAGCAAGAAAAGGUCUGUACUCCCAAGCUUGAUGGGACAGCUGAGCGACACCUGUCAGCUCUUACUGAUGGCUUGAGAGAUAAUGAAAUAACAAUGCUUCUCUCCUGUGGAAGCACUAGUGGUCCAACAGACCGUACUUCAGUGCCUGAGGGACUGUUGAUAGGAGGAGUAACAAGUUCCAUGACCAUUAGUGAAAGUGCAAUCAAGGAUAGACUGGAAACUAUUAAAAAGAUAUAUUGCUACGAUGCUCAUCGCAUUCUCAACUACUUAUACAAUAAAUAUCAAUUAUCACUGAUAGAUAAAGCUGAUUCUUGCCUCUUAAUGGACGUCAAGAUUGCUGGGUACUUGUUAUCGCCUGAAGAUCCUCCUAAUUCACUAGAAACACUAAUGCAACGUUAUGGAACUGACGUAGUUGCUAACAGAGCAAAAUCAAAUAUCAAUGUCCAAGACCUUUCUAUACUUGCUGAUUGCCUUGGAAGCAAGUUAAAAGAAUAUUCACUAACUUGUGUCUUUGACAUUGAGAUGAAAGUUGCCCCAAUACUAGCAGGUAUGGAAUAUUAUGGUGUGUUAGUUAAUACUUCUCAGCUGGUUACUUAUUUGGAUGAUUUAAAGUCUGUCAUUAAGUCAUUAGAGGUCGAGGCACGAGACACAGUUGGGCACACCUUUUCACUAACCAGCACUUCUCAGCUAAGAGAAGUGUUAUUUACUGAGCUGUGUCUGGAUAGGAUGUGUACUCAGUCACUUCAGGUGACAUCAGUCAAUAAAGUCACCUCAACUUCAGAGGCUGUGUUGGUACAACUUUCAGAGUUCCACCCUUUACCUGGUAUAGUACUACAGUACAGGCAGUGUUUAAAGGUUAAAGGUUUUGUUGAGAGCUUAUUGUCGCAUACAAGUCCUGCUGGAUCAUUAAACCCCAAGUGGCUCUCAGACAGAACAGUCACUGGGCGGUUGGCAUGCAGUAGUCCUAAUAUGCAGGCAUUUCCUAAACACUCGUAUUCUUAUGAAUUACCUGGAAUAUUAAGACCAAGAGUAGUAUCUCUUGACAUUAGAAGUACAAUCAUCAGUAGGCCUGGUACCAGUUUCAUUACACUUGAUUUCAAGAGUAUUGAGUUGCGACUCUUAGCUCAUUUCUCUAAAGAUGAAUCCCUAGCAUCCAUCAUUGCUGCUGAUGCUUCAAUUGAUGUGUUUGUUUCCCUCGCGUCUCAAUGGCUAAGACUGAGUCCUGAUAGGGUGACUGGGAAGGAAAGAGAGCGUGUGAAGAGAGUUGUGUAUGCCAUCAUUUAUGGAGUAGGGAAAGAGAAACUGGCCGAGCUAAUACAAUCUACGCCCUCUUCUGCACAAGAGCUAGUGAAAUCAUUCCUUCGCACCUAUCCUGGGAUUAGUAACUUUAUGCAGAAAACACUGGACUACUGCAGAAGUAACAAGUUUUGUGUUAGUCUUUGUGGCCGAAAGAGAUGGUUCCCUUUAAUAUGUUCCACUGACUAUCAGACUAAGACAUCAUUAGAAAGACAAGCAAUAAACUUUGUGAUACAAGGUUCUGCUGCUGAUGUUUGUAAAAUUUCAAUGAUAAGAAUUAACAACGCACUUUCUAAGACUAGCCCAUCAGCAAAAUUCAUGAUGAAUUGUUGUAUGAAGUACCCAAUGAGGAUGUCCCUGUCGUUACUGAUUUAUUAAAACAAGUUGCAGAGUCACCUAAUCUCCUUAAAGGAUACUGUCAGCCAUUAAUAGUACCACUGGCUGUAAGGAUUAGCAUCGGAAAGAACUGGUCAUAAUCUUAAAACAUGCAUCCUGUAGUUGUAUUUAUUGUACAUAUGAUUUUAUGAGAUUUUAUCACUGCCAAAGCUAUAAUAUUACAAUUUAAAAGUA